GCGAGGAGGGGAGGAGGAGGAGGAGGAGUGGAGGGGGGGAUCCGCAGGGCAGGGCGGGGAGGGAGGACACAAAAGAGCAGGGAAGUGGGGGAGAGAGAAAUAAUAAUAACAAAGUUUGCAAACAGGACAGCCCGUCUCCCUCCCGUAAUGAGAUUCAUCAGGGCUUAUCUGGCCCCUCUGAGCGCUCAAUCAGUCAUGUCGCCUCGGCGCUGUGCUGUCCCUCGCCCCGGCGGGAUGGGAUCAGGCGGCCCAGGUCAAGACGAGCCGGGAGACGCCAGUCCCGCGGGGCCAGGGCUGCGGCUCCGGCCCCGCUCUCCGCACGGCGGGAGGGCUGCUCCCCUCUCCCUUCGCAUCCCGGGCUGCGGAUUUGAACGUGAAGCACGCCGGGGCAAAGUUUGGUAACAGGCUCACAUCUGAAAUGGCAGGAAAGGUCUGUCACGCCUGGACCAGAAGCCAAAACUUCAGCAUUUCAUUCUUUCUCAGCCACCAAAAAUGACAGCAAAACCUCUGGUUUUCUCCUUGGUCAGCAGGGCACAGAGAAAGAAGGAACCCCUGUGCUGGUUGAAACUGUUGCCUGUGCUCUGGGUUGAGGAUUUUAAACUUUUUUAUUUUAAAGGUAGGGACUUGCAUGAAUAUGCUCCAAGAUAUUUCACUCAUGGAACUGGAGAGGGGUGUGAUUCAGCCUGAAACUGGAUUUAUGCUGCACUCUUAUUUUAGUUCCUACUGCCUAGGAGAAUAGUUACUACUCAAAUCACAAACUCUGUCUGUGACCUGCGCUAAGUUUUCAAAUUAAUUUGGUUUUGGUUUUGAUAGCUUCAACAGAAUUGUUGAAUAACAUUUCCUUCAGCAGGAGUUUUCCAAACAAAUUUACUUCAUUUCUGCUUGUGAGAAGUGGAAAGAAUGUAUUUUCCUUGUGCCUGCUUGGAACUACAUGUGCCUCUGAGGUCCAGAAGGUGACAAAUCUUUCACAAGUGAUUCUUCCAAUAAGCAUAGAGAGGAGAAACUAAUUGUUGUGUGCUGUAGCUACCAGAAGAUUAAAAAUAUUCUGUACUGAAAUAAGUUAACUGUUGCUCAGCAUUUGGACUUGUGGAGCACAGAGCUGACUAGGUUGAGCUUAGGGAGAGAAUUGGAAAACAAACUUCUCAGCUGGAAAAGGAGCCCCCUGAAUUUAAUGCUGUUGGACCAAAUGAGCAGGAACAAACCUGGAAGACCUUGGCUGAAUGCUAAAUGUGAGUAUUGACCCCAAACAGCACUUUUUCCAUGUGUCAAAAAUACACUCUUUAAUGGAUUAAAUUAUUUUAUUAGUCUUCCAUUUGGAAGGCUAAAACCUGCUGUGCAAAGCUCAAGAAAUAAAUAAAAUCUGGUGAUGAAAGACUGAACUCUG
rnacentral:lncRNA from 1 species